UACGAAGGGGGCCAGCGUUGUCCGGAUUCAUUGGGCGUAAAGCGCGUGUAGGCGGCCAGGUAGGUCCGAUGUGAAAUCUGGAGGCUCAACCUCCAGCGGUCAUUGGAAACCAUCUGGCUAGAGGCCGGAAGAGGAGAGUGGAAUUCCUGGUGUAGCGGUGAAAUGCGCAGAUAUCAGGAAGAACACCAAUGGCGAAGGCAGCUCUCUGGGACGGUACUGACGCUGAGACGCGAAAGCGUGGGGAGCGAACAGG
rnacentral:rRNA from 1 species